rnacentral:rRNA from 1 species
GGGCGCAGCCUGAUCCAGCCAUGCCGCGUGAGUGAAGAAGGCCUUCGGGUUGUAAAGCUCUUUCGGUGGGGAAGAAAUUGCACGGGAUAAUACCCUGUGUAGAUGACGGUACCUGGAGAAGAAGCACCGGCUAACUACGUGCCAGCAGCCGCGGUAAUACGUAGGGUGCGAGCGUUAAUCGGAAUUACUGGGCGUAAAGCGUGCGCAGGCGGUUGGAUAAGUCAGAUGUGAAAUCCCCGGGCUCAACCUGGGAACUGCAUUUGAGACUGCCCAGCUGGAGUUUGGCAGAGGGA